rnacentral:rRNA from 1 species
UACGUAGGGUGCAAGCGUUAAUCGGAAUUACUGGGCGUAAAGCGUGCGCAGGCGGUUCUGUAAGACAGAUGUGAAAACCCCGGGCUCAACCUUGGAACUGCAUUUGUGACUGUAGAGCUGGAGUACGGUAGAGGGGGAUGGAAUUCCGCGUGUAGCAGUGAAAUGCGUAGAUAUGCGGAGGAACACCGAUGGCGAAGGCAGCCUUCUGGGCCAACACUGACGCUCAUGCACGAAAGCGUGGGGAGCAAACAGG